CGGCAGCGGGAAAGUAGCUUGCUACUUUUGCCGGCGAGCGGCGGACGGGUGAGUAAUGCCUGGGAAAUUGCCCAGUCGAGGGGGAUAACAUUUGGAAACGACUGCUAAUACCGCAUACCCCCUACGGGGGAAAGCAGGGGACCUUCGGGCCUUGCGCGAUUGGAUAUGCCCAGGUGGGAUUAGCUAGUUGGUGAGGUAAUGGCUCACCAAGGCGACGAUCCCUAGCUGGUCUGAGAGGAUGAUCAGCCACACUGGAACUGAGACACGGUCCAGACUCCUACGGGAGGCAGCAGUGGGGAAUAUUGCACAAUGGGGGAAACCCUGGUGCAGCCAUGCCGCGUGUGUGAAGAAGGCCUUCGGGUUGUAAAGCACUUUCAGCCAGGAGGAAAGGUUGGCGCCUAAUACGUGUCAACUGUGACGUUACUCGCAGAAGAAGCACCGGCUAACUCCGUGCCGCAGAAGAAGCACCGGCGUGGAAGCUUAAUGUGAA
rnacentral:rRNA from 1 species